AGGACCACCGCCGCCAGCCACCUCCUACUCACCCUCUCAGACCCUCCCUUAUCUUUCUAUCGGCCGACGGACAGCAGGAGUUUCAGACCACCACCGCCGCCGUUCGCAACUGCCGACUCUAUCCCGCCUCCCCUCCUUCUCUCCUUCUAUCCGCGAUGACAGCCACGCCGGCGACAACAGCAGUAACCGCGCCGCCGCGGUGACCACAGCAGCACCGCUGCCUUCGCUCCCCCCUGCCCUGACUCGCCUCGACUCGACUCUCACAUCAACAACACAUAGCGAAAGAUUACAGAAAAUACAUGUAAGGCUCAAUUAGUCCAUAGACAUUCUGUAAACUUGUUUUCUUUUUCAUGUGUAGUUUCUGUAACAACCAUAUGUACAUCAAAAAAAAGCAAGAUAUGAUCUUUAUUCAUGUAUGCUAAUCAUCUUUUAUGAAUGUCCUGUUUGAUUGUAAAUAAAGAAUGGUUAUUAUGCUUUUGUGUGUGGUGUAUGAACAUGAUUGUUUGUUGAGAAGAAGUGUAGUGGGGCAAACCUUAAUGAGGAGUUCUGUUAUGAAGUAAAUUUUGAGGGCUGUGAUUUUGAGCUACGAACUGUCGCCUGCUACUCUUGGUGAGAAGAUGGGAUUUUGAGUUGUGUGUUGGGUGAAGAGUUAAGCUGCUUCGUGUGUGAUCGAAAGGGCGAGAAUGGCUAAAAUUUAUAGGGGAAACUGGCAGGAAGAAGAAGACGUGGAAGUACCCCUAUCAUGCACUAAAACUAACUACUGAUGAUCAUGUAAUGUGUCAAUUCUACUGCCCCAAGUAAUAGAUUAAAAACUCAUGCAAAAACUCAAGAUAUAUAUAUAUAUAUUCGGUCCACUUAAAGAUAUAGUGGGCUUCUUAAAUAAGUGAGCCUUUGCAAAUUGUUUACAAAGCCCAACAUCAAAAUAAUUUAUUGAGAUAGAAAAUAUAAGCACAUUGCCUUCAAAUAAUUUGAUAAAAUCUAUUAUUAAAAGGAAUACUUUUUCGAAAACAAAAAUAAUAAUAAUCCGGGCGAGA
rnacentral:lncRNA from 1 species